UACGAAGGGGGCUAGCGUUGCUCGGAAUCACUGGGCGUAAAGGGUGCGUAGGCGGGUCUUUAAGUCAGGGGUGAAAUCCUGGAGCUCAACUCCAGAACUGCCUUUGAUACUGAGGAUCUUGAGUUCGGGAGAGGUGAGUGGAACUGCGAGUGUAGAGGUGAAAUUCGUAGAUAUUCGCAAGAACACCAGUGGUGAAGGCGGCUCACUGGCCCGAUACUGACGCUGAGGUGCGAAAGCGUGGGGAGCAAACAGG
rnacentral:rRNA from 1 species